rnacentral:misc_RNA from 1 species
GGCAGACCUCCGCGGUGUUCGUCCAUCAUUACCGGCAUCUAUUUCCUUUGGCAUUCCCUCCAAAGUCAAACCGAUCCUCAAACCCUCUUUUAACAUUGCAAACCACCAACACCGUCAUCCUCCUUCAUCCGCCAUGGAACCCCGCCAAGUCGACCAAUUCGAGCCGGAACUUCAACUACCACGCCUCCGUAUCAAUCCCUCCUCUCCUCCUCGCGUCCCCAUUACCACUCCUACCCCUACCUCCGCUGCACAACGCCGAAUCGCCAUCGCCGUUGAUCUCAGCGAUGAAAGCGCUUAUGCUGUUAAGUGGGCUGUUAAUAACUACCUCCGCCCCGGUGACGCCGUCAUCCUUCUCCAUGUCCGUCCUACCUCCGUCCUGUAUGGCGCUGACUGGGGCUCGAUCAAGCUCCAUAUCAACGAUAAUAACGAUAGCUCAUCUCUGGACGAAAGUGAUCACAAGAAGCUGGAGGACGAUUUCAAUAAUUUCACUACCACGAAAGCCAAUUCCGUAGCGCAGCCGCUGGUUGAGGCGCACUUUCCAUUCAAAAUCCAUAUCGUGAAGGACCAUGACAUGAAAGAGAGGCUAUGUUUGGAGGUGGAGAGGUUGGGG